CCCCAUGCAUUUGACCUAUAAAUAAUUUUCUAACCUACACUUGUAAACUUUCACCCUUGAUACCUCCUCCUACCUCACGACACCCAUACCUAAACCCAUAAGUCUUACAUUUUCAAAUCUUGUUUCAAGAUUCCAAGUGUUGUUCCAAGUGCAAGCCUUCAAGUUCUAGUUCAUACACCUUACCUUCUCUCUGCUUGUUUUAUGGCAAAGCGGGAUCCGACUAUGACCCGACUAUAUAACCAGUUUUCUAAAGCCACAUCUUCCUUUCUCAUUUGAGAACCCUAUGUUUUGAUUGCAACCAGUUUUCUGCAGGUUGUUUAAAAACCCUAUUAUCUUUUUAUUUGAUAUUCAAACGUUUUUGGCGUUUCCGGUGAGUGAAGCGACGAUCUAUGUUCUGAUCUAUGUUUGAAACGGAAGUGAAGUUUGUCAGAUAAUGGCGUUUCCGGAGAGUGUAGCGGCGAUUCUAGCGGCGGUCGUUGUUACUGCUCCAAAAGAAGGGAAUUUUGUCUAUGAAGCUAAACUUGAGAUAUCUAGAAGCCAUUCUAGGUCAUUUAUAGUUUAUUUAGAUUUUACACACAUAUAUUUAAAUAUAUGCUUUUAUGCAAAAUUAUAUGGCUUUUCAACAAGGGGAUUAUAUGGUGUGGAAGCCAGAUUGAAGGAAUGUAUGCAGCUUGUCACACCCCGACCGCGUAAAACAACAAACCGCGGCGGAAACGCCGGGGAGGUGAGU